rnacentral:tRNA from 1 species
GGCAGGUUGCCCGAGCGGCCAAUGGGAGCGGACUGUAAAUCCGCCGGCUUACGCCUACGUAGGUUCGAAUCCUACACCUGCCACAA